rnacentral:rRNA from 1 species
UACGUAGGGGGGCUAGCGUUGUCCGGAAUCAUUGGGCGUAAAGAGCGUGUAGGCGGCCCGGUAAGUCCGCUGUGAAAGUCAAAGGCUCAACCUUUGAAUGUCAGCGGAUACUGCCGGGCUAGAGUCCGGAAGAGGCGAGUGGAACUCCUGGUGUAGCGGUGGAAUGCGCAGAUAUCAGGAAGAACACCAACGGCGAAGGCAGCUCGCUGGGACGGUACUGACGCUGAGACGCGAAAAGCGUGGGGAGCGAACAGG